GACGAACGCUGGCGGCGUGCUUAACACAUGCAAGUCGAACGGAAAGGCCCUGCUUUUGUGGGGUGCUCGAGUGGCGAACGGGUGAGUAACACGUGAGUAACCUGCCCUUGACUUUGGGAUAACUUCAGGAAACUGGGGCUAAUACCGGAUAGGAGCUCCUGCUGCAUGGUGGGGGUUGGAAAGUUUCGGCGGUUGGGGAUGGACUCGCGGCUUAUCAGCUUGUUGGUGGGGUAGUGGCUUACCAAGGCUUUGACGGGUAGCCGGCCUGAGAGGGUGACCGGCCACAUUGGGACUGAGAUACGGCCCAGACUCCUACGGGAGGCAGCAGUGGGGAAUAUUGCACAAUGGGCGGGAGCCUGAUGCAGCAACGCCGCGUGCGGGAUGACGGCCUUCGGGUUGUAAACCGCUUUCGCAUGUGACGAAGCGUGAGUGACGGUAAUGGGUAAAGAAGCACCGGCUAACUACGUG
rnacentral:rRNA from 1 species